UUACUCUUGUUUCUCUUCAGAUUGCAUAAAUCUUUCACUUUUUACUAAUGAUUUCUGUGGAGAGGAACAACAAGUGUCUGUCUCAAUUUUUUGACGCUCUGUGAAAGCAGAGCU